UAAGGAAUAUUGCGCAAUGGGCGAAAGCCUGACGCAGCGACGCCGCGUGGGGGAUGAAGGUCUUCGGAUUGUAAACCCCUUUCGGGAGGGAAGAUGGAAUGGGGUAACCCAUUCGGACGGUACCUCCAGAAGCAGCCACGGCUAACUUCGUGCCAGCAGCCGCGGUAAUACGAAGGUGGCAAGCGUUAUUCGGAUUUACUGGGCGUACAGGGAGCGUAGGCGGUUCGGUAAGCCCUUUGUGAAAUCUCCAGGCUUAACCUGGAAAAGUCGGAGGGGACUGCCGGGCUAGAGGACGGGAGAGGAGCGCGGAAUUCCCGGUGUAGCGGUGAAAUGCGUAGAGAUCGGGAGGAAGGCCGGUGGCGAAGGCGGCGCUCUGGAACGUUUCUGACGCUGAGGCUCGAAAGCGUGGGGAGCAAACAGGAUUAGAUACCCUAGUAGUCCCUGAGCGGGCUGGCAAGGCGCAU
rnacentral:rRNA from 1 species